rnacentral:rRNA from 1 species
CACGGACCGCACGAACGUUUAUUCCGGUAUCACUGGGCUUAAAAGGGUGCGUAGGCGGCUUUGCAAGUUGGGUGUGAAAGCCCUCGGCUCAACCGAGGAACUGCGCUCAAUACUGCCGAGCUCGAGAGAGACAGAGGUAAGCGGAACUAAUGGUGGAGCGGUGAAAUGCGUUGAUAUCAUUAGGAACACCGGUGGCGAAGGCGGCUUCUGGGUCUUUU